CCUACGGGUGGCAGCAGUGAGGAAUAUUGGUCAAUGGACGCAAGCCUGAACCAGCCAUGCCGCGUGCAUGAAGACGGCUCUAUGAGUUUUAAACUGUUUUUGUACGGGAGAAAACGCAGAUACGCGUAUCUGUCCGACAGUACCGUACGAAUAAGGAUCGGCUCACUCCGUGCCAGCAGCCGCGGGAAUACGGAGGGUUCAAGCGUUACCCGGAUUUAUUGGGUGUGAAGGGUGCGUAGGCGGUCGGAUAAGUUAGAGGUGAAAUCCCGAGGCUCAACUUCGGAAUUGCAUCUGAUACUGUACAGCUAGAGAGUAGAUGCGGUAGGCGGAAUGUAUGGUGUAGCGGUGAAAUGCUUAGAGAUAA
rnacentral:rRNA from 1 species